rnacentral:lncRNA from 1 species
GCCUUGCUCAGAGGGUUGAAGAUCCAGCAUUGCCAAAAGCUGUGGUGUAGGUUGGAGACAUGGCUCAGAUCCUGCAUUGCUGUGGUUGUGGUGUAGGCUGGCAGCUCCAGCUCCAAUUAGACCCCUAGCCAGAGACCUCCAUAUGAUGUGGGCAUGGUCCCAGAAAAGGCAAAAAGACAAAAAAAGAAAAAAAACAUCAGGCCGACAAAAGCCUGUAUACAGGGAACUUUCCACCAUUUCUCAGUGUGUUGAAGAAAAUUUUCUAGAUCAUGUUGAAUGUGGUAAUCAAAUUCUUGGGCUAUUCACUUCCAUUAUCUAAUUUAUAUUGGGGCCAGACCAUAAUGCAGAAGAAAAUGAGAUGCUCGGGCUUAAUAUCUGGGUGAACGCCCAGAGUUUAAAGGUUAUGAAGAAGAUGACAAAGAGGUAUAUCCCAUAGAGGGAGAGAAAAGGAGGCACCCACAGCAUUAAUUUGGGAGUGGAAAGGCUGGUCUAUGGAGCCUAUUAGCCCACCUUGGUGCUCUGAGAAACAUCCCACUAAGAGAGCCUAGGAUCUGAACUAGCAAGUCCACCCAGACAAUCAGAGGGGCAUCCCCCCCACAAAAGUGUCUGAGACAGAGGCUCUCCACCAAUUUGGAGACAUCUUUCCAGAGGAGGGGGAGAGCAACCAGACCCUGGGACUCAUGAGGACCUGGCUGACUGGACAUCUCAAUUUCGUGAGAGUAGGAUCAGUCUGGGUUGGAGGGGAGAGAAAAAUAAAAGAAGUGAGCUCCAAUAUUCACUCACUCUCCACUCUUCUUGAAAGGAAGGCCAGUGUGGAGUGUGUUGGGGUAGGUAAUCACUGGAAGGCACUUGAGACUACAGAACUUGACAGUCACAAAGAAGAGAGACUUUGACUCUUUUGAGUGGUAGUUACUGGGAGAAAGAGCUAAAGAAACCUUCAGAGCUCACCAGGGAGUAGCCCUGGCCUGAGUCUUCAAUUGUUCCAAUAACUUCACUCCCUUCACUGAAUGUCUCUUCAGUUAAGGGGAGAAAGUAGGAAAAGACUUUAAGAACAGAUGAGGUUUCUACCCCUUUGGGCUAAAAAUUAUUCACCACCAGGACCUAGAAGGACCUUCAGAACACCCCAGAGAGUAGCCCUGCCUGGUGUCUUCAAUUGUCCCUCCAAGCCUUGCAGUGGGCCUGGAAGCCUGGAAAUUAGAAAGGGAGAGCCAGGUAACCCUCCCAGGUUUUGGCACCAAAAUGUUAGGAAAAUCAAGAAGAGGCAGGGGUCCAGAGCACUGAGACUUUAAGUGAGUUUUAUUGACCAACAGACUGCCAGGAUCACUGAGAGAGAACUCAGGCUCCCCACCUCCACUUCUCAGGGAGCAGCUAAUUAUGCAGGAAAAGGGGUAGUUUCUAUUUUUAGCACAGGUUUGCUCUUGGGCUAAGUCAGUAUUCAAGGGUUGGGGGGAGGCAAUCUCCUUUGGAACAUGGGUAAUUGUUUUGUGUAAGGGGUAGAGGGAAAUUGUAAAAAAAAUCCCAUGAAAACUGGCUAUGUAAGUAUAACUGGUCUCCAAGGCAGCUCAUUGUUGGGGAAGGGAAUCAGCCUUCUAGAUUGUAAGUCUGAUUAGAAUUUUGGUGGUGCCUGCAAGUCAGGUCCAAUUCCCCACCUAAGAAACUUGACUGGCUAAGAGAGAGAUGGCUGGUAAAACAUUUCUAGGUGUAUCUCUGAGGGUGUUUCUGGAAGAGAUUAGCAUUUGAAAAGAGACUGAGUAAAGAGGAUUGUAUUCACCAAUGCAGGAGGGUAUUAUACCCUCCCCUGAGUGCUUAACAAGAACAACAAAGUGGAAAAAAGGCUAAAUUUGUUCUCCCUGCUGGAGCUGAGACAUCCCUUUUAUUCUGCCCUCACACAGGUGUUGCUACUAGUUCUCCAGUUUUAGUCUUAGACUAGGAUUUACACCAUCAGCAAGGUUUGAUUUCAGGCCUUUGGACCCAGAAUGAAUUACACCACCGGCUUUCCUGAUUUCUUUUUUAAAAACAUUUUUAUGGUUAUUUAAAUCCUAGUCAAUAAAUCACCAAUCUUUGUGUAAUAACUGGAUUUCCUUCUCUUUGGCUCAGUUUUGAACUACAUGAAACUCAGAGGGACACUGAAAUAGAGUCCACUUUGUUUUUUGAUUUUGUUUUUUUUUUUCAGGGCCACACCAGUGGCAUGUGGAUAUUCCCAGGCUAGGUAUCAAAUCAGAGCUACAGCUGCAGGCCCAGACACAGCAACAUGGGAUACAAGCUGCAUCCACAAGCCUCACGGCAAUGCCAGAUCCAUUCCACUGAGUGAGGCCAGUGAUCAAACUUGCCACCUCAUGGUUCCUAGUUGGAUUCAUUUCUGCUGUGCCAUGAUGGGAACUCCUACAGUCCACUUUCUUACACUCUAACCAUUUGUCAAAAUCCUGCCGCACUGUGCAUAUUUUGAUUUUUGAAGAAUGUGUUUCUUGGACAAUCUCUUUUUAAACUGAAAAUUCCUGAUUGAUAUUGUUUUCUCUUGUGGGAUGAAGAAAUAUAUGCCUUCCACAGCAAAUUCUUAAGAUAUUGAGAAUUACUCAUUCAACUUUCUGUGUAUAAUCCAGUCUCAUAUUCCCAAAAUUUACUCACCUAUUAAAUUAAUAUUGGCCAUGAAUUUGUACAUUUUUUGGUCUUGAAAAUUUCAGUGGACUUCCAUUUUUCUAAUGCAUUCUGUUUAUUCUGUUCCCAUCAUGAUUCUGUGGGUGAAGAACACAGUGUCAUUGAGGAUGUGUGUUCAAUCCCUGGCCUUGCUCAGUGAGUUAAGGAUCCAAUGUUUCAGCAAACUAUGGCGAGUUUGCUGAGGCAUCUCAGAUCUGGCAUUGAGGUGGCUGUGGUAUAGACUGACAACUGCAGCUCAAAUUCCACCUCAGGCCUGGGAACUUCCAUAUGCCACAGGUGUGACUGUAAAAAGAAAAGAAAAAAAAAA